rnacentral:rRNA from 1 species
UACGUAGGGUGCAAGCGUUGUCCGGAAUUAUUGGGCGUAAAGAGCUCGUAGGCGGCUUGUCACGUCGGGUGUGAAAGCCCGGGGCUUAACCCCGGGUCUGCAUUCGAUACGGGCUAGCUAGAGUGUUGUAGGGGAGAUCGGAAUUCCUGGUGUAGCGGUGAAAUGCGCAGAUAUCAGGAGGAACACCGGUGGCGAAGGCGGAUCUCUGGGCCAUUACUGACGCUGAGGAGCGAAAGCGUGGGGAGCGAACAGG